AGUGAACGCUGGCGGUAGGCCUAACACAUGCGAGUCGAACGGCAGCACAGUAAGAGCUUGCUCUUACGGGUGGCGAGUGGCGGACGGGUGAGGAAUACAUCGGAAUCUACUUUUUCGUGGGGGAUAACGUAGGGAAACUUACGCUAAUACCGCAUACGACCUACGGGUGAAAGCAGGGGAUCUUCGGACCUUGCGCGAUUGAAUGAGCCGAUGUCGGAUUAGCUAGUUGGCGGGGUAAAGGCCCACCAAGGCGACGAUCCGUAGCUGGUCUGAGAGGAUGAUCAGCCACGCUGGAACUGAGACACGGUCCAGACUCCUACGGGAGGCAGCAGUGGGGAAUAUUGGACAAUGGGCGCAAGCCUGAUCCAGCCAUACCGCGUGGGUGAAGAAGGCCUUCGGGUUGUAAAGCCCUUUUGUUGGGAAAGAAAAGCAGCAGGUUAAUACCCCGCUGUUCUGACGGUACCCAAAGAAUAAGCACCGGCUAACUUCGUG
rnacentral:rRNA from 1 species